GGCGACUGAACCGGGAAGAGCUCAAAAUGUCAAUCCGGAUUUUAUUCGGAGUUGUAACCUGUAGACUCACUUCUAGUGUUGGCCCCUGCGUAAGUCUUUUUGGAAAAAGGCACCAAAGAGGGUGAGAGUCCCGUUCACGUGGGAGGUCAGCGCGUCCGGAAGGGGUGUCGUUUGAGUCGCGUACUUUUGGACUUGGUGCGCAAAAUGGGUGGUAAUUUUCAUCUAAAGCUAAAUACUGACUUGAGACCGAUAGCAAACAAGUACCGUGAGGGAAAGAUGAAAAGGACUUUGGAAAGAGAGUUAAAAGUGCCUGAAAUCGCUGAGAGCGAAGCGAAUGGAGUCAGUUAGUGAGUAGAGAUUGGUGGCUUCUAAGGUGAAUAGCUACACCGUAAGGGUGGCGAUUUGAUCCUGACGAAGUUGCUGCUUCUCCAUUACUUCAGUUAUCGUAUGUCAGGUUCUUGAACAUUAUUGUUUGCCUUCGUCUGGAUGCUGCGGUGUUCUGC
rnacentral:rRNA from 1 species